CUAUGCUUAGCCCUAAAUCUAGAUAGAUAACUCAACAAAUCUAUCCGCCAGAGAACUACUAGCAACAGCUUAAAACUCAAAGGACUUGGCGGUGCUUCACAUCCCUCUAGAGGAGCCUGUUCUAUAAUCGAUAAACCCCGAUAAACCUCACCACCUCUUGCUAAUACAGUCUAUAUACCGCCAUCUU
rnacentral:rRNA from 1 species